rnacentral:rRNA from 1 species
GGCUCAGGAUGAACGCUGGCGGCGUGCCUAAUACAUGCAAGUCGAGCGAACGGAUAAGGAGCUUGCUCCUUUGAAGUUAGCGGCGGACGGGUGAGUAACACGUGGGUAACCUACCUAUAAGACUGGAAUAACUUCGGGAAACCGGAGCUAAUGCCGGAUAACAUUUGGAACCGCAUGGUUCUAAAGUAAAAGAUGGUUUUGCUAUCACUUAUAGAUGGACCCGCGCCGUAUUAGCUAGUUGGUAAGGUAACGGCUUACCAAGGCAACGAUACGUAGCCGACCUGAGAGGGUGAUCGGCCACACUGGAACUGAGACACGGUCCAGACUCCUACGGGAGGCAGCAGUAGGGAAUCUUCCGCAAUGGACGAAAGUCUGACGGAGCAACGCCGCGUGAGUGAUGAAGGUUUUCGGAUCGUAAAACUCUGUUAUUAGGGAAGAACAAAUGUGUAAGUAACUGUGCACAUCUUGACGGUACCUAAUCAGAAAGCCACGGCUAACUACGUGCCAGCAG